GAUAGACAAAGCGACGGAUUUACCUGAUAGAAAUAAACGUACUCAGACAAAAUCCCCUAAACGUGAUAAAAAGAAGAAGAUUAUUGAACCAGAUAUUAAAGUUCCACACACUGAGGAUUCUGGAAAGGAAAGUAGAAAGAAGAGGAAGUGUCUCGAGAAGAAGGAGCGCAAGACAAGACACAAAGAAGACGAUCACAAAUCUUCUAAACGAAAGCGGCGUUGCUUAGAGAAACAUGGAAGGAAGUACAAAAUCGAAGAGCAGUACGACGAAGAAGGAUCACCUAGAACAUCCAGACGGAAGUGUUCAAAGGACAGAAGGGAC